UCGAACGCUUCUUUUUCUACCGAGAGGCUUGCACUCACUUGAAAAGAGGAGUCGGCGGACGGGUGAGUAACACGUGGGUAACCUGCCCAUCAGAGGGGGAUAACACUUGGAAACAGGUGCUAAUACCGCAUAAUAGUCGACACCGCAUGGUGUUGAUUUGAAAGACGCUUUCGGGUGUCACUGAUGGAUGGACCCGCGGUGCAUUAGCUAGUUGGUGAGGUAACGGCUCACCAAGGCGAUGAUGCAUAGCCGACCUGAGAGGGUGAUCGGCCACACUGGGACUGAGACACGGCCCAGACUCCUACGGGAGGCAGCAGUAGGGAAUCUUCGGCAAUGGACGAAAGUCUGACCGAGCAACGCCGCGUGAGUGAAGAAGGUUUUCGGAUCGUAAAACUCUGUUGUUAGAGAAGAAUAAGUAGGAGAGUAACUGCUCUUACCUUGACGGUAUCUAACCAGAAAGCCACGGCUAACUACGUGCCAGCAGCCGCGGUAAUACGUAGGUGGCAAGCGUUGUCCGGAUUUAUUGGGCGUAAAGCGAGCGCAGGCGGUUUCUUAAGUCUGAUGUGAAAGCCCCCGGCUCAACCGGGGAGGGUCAUUGGAAACUGGGAGACUUGAGUGCAUAAGAGGAGAGCGGAAUUCCAUGUGUAGCGGUGAAAUGCGCAGAUAUAUGGAGGAGCACCAGUGGCGAAUGCGACUCUCUGGUCUGUAACUGACGCUGAUGCUCGAAACCGUG
rnacentral:rRNA from 1 species